CGGAGGAUCCAAGCGUUAUCCGGAAUCAUUGGGUUUAAAGGGUCCGUAGGCGGUCUUGUAAGUCAGUGGUGAAAGCCCAUCGCUCAACGGUGGAACGGCCAUUGAUACUGCAGGACUUGAAUUAUUGGGAAGUAACUAGAAUAUGUAGUGUAGCGGUGAAAUGCUUAGAGAUUACAUGGAAUACCAAUUGCGAAGGCAGGUUACUACCAAUUGAUUGACGCUGAUGGACGAAAGUGUGGGUAGCGAACAGGAUUAGAUACCCUGGUAGUCCACGCCGUAAACGAUGGAUACUAGCUGUUGGGAGCAAUCUCAGUGGCUAAGCGAAAGUGAUAAGUACUCCCACGUGGGGAUACGAACGCAAGUUUG
rnacentral:rRNA from 1 species